UGGGGAAUAUUGGACAAUGGGCGAAAGCCUGAUCCAGCCAUGCCGCGUGUGUGAAGAAGGUCUUCGGAUUGUAAAGCACUUUAAGUUGGGAGGAAGGGCAGUAAGCGAAUACCUUGCUGUUUUGACGUUACCGACAGAAUAAGCACCGGCUAACUCUGUGCCAGCAGCCGCGGUAAUACAGAGGGUGCAAGCGUUAAUCGGAAUUACUGGGCGUAAAGCGCGCGUAGGUGGUUCGUUAAGUUGAAUGUGAAAGCCCCGGGCUCAACCUGGGAACUGAAUCCACAACUGGCGAGCUAGAGUAGGGCAGAGGGUGGUGGAAUUUCCUGUGUAGCGGUGAAAUGCGUAGAUAUAGGAAGGAACACCAGUGGCGAAGGCGACCACCUGGGCUCAUACUGACACUGAGGUGCGAAAGCGUGGGGAGCAAACAGG
rnacentral:rRNA from 1 species